rnacentral:rRNA from 1 species
UACGUAGUGCGCAAGCGUUGUCCGGAAUUAUUGGGCGUAAAGAGCUCGUAGGCGGCCUGUUGCGUCCGCUGUGAAAUCCCGGGGCUCAACCCCGGGCCUGCAGUGGAUACGGGCUGGCUAGAGGCAGGCAGGGGAGAACGGAAUUCCUGGUGUAGCGGUGAAAUGCGCAGAUAUCAGGAGGAACACCGGUGGCGAAGGCGGUUCUCUGGGCCUGUACUGACGCUGAGGAGCGAAAGCGUGGGGAGCGAACAGG